UACGAAGGGGGCUAGCGUUGUUCGGAAUUACUGGGCGUAAAGGGCGCGUAGGCGGUCCUUCAAGUCAGGCGUGAAAGCCCCGGGCUCAACCUGGGAACCGCGCUUGAGACUGGCGGACUCGAGUUCGGGAGAGGAUGGUGGAAUUCCCAGUGUAGAGGUGAAAUUCGUAGAUAUUGGGAAGAACACCGAUGGCGAAGGCAGCCAUCUGGACCGACACUGACGCUGAGGCGCGAAAGCGUGGGGAGCAAACAGGAUUAGAAACCCGCGUAGUCC
rnacentral:rRNA from 1 species